CCUACGGGGUGCAGCAGUGAGGAAUAUUGCACAAUGGGCGAAAGCCUGAUCCAGCGAAGCCGCGUGAGUGAAGAAGUAUCUCGGUAUGUAAAGCUCUGUGGAGGGGGACGCUAAUGCCGGUACUCCUUUCGGAAGCCACGGCUAACUACGUGCAAGCUGCCGCGGUAAUACGGAGGUAGCGAGCGUUGUCCGGAAUUACGGGGUGUAAAGGGAGUGUAGGAGGGAAAGCGAGUCAGAAGUGAAAACUAUGGGUUUAACCCAUAGCCUGCUUUUGAAACUGUUUUUCUUGAGUGAAGUAGAGGCAAGCGGAAUGCCUAGUGUAGCGGUGAAAUGCUUAGAUAUUAGGAGGAACACCAGUGGCGAAGGCGGCUUGCUGGGUUUGUACUGACGCUGAGGCUCGAAAGCGUGGGGAGCAAACAGGAUUAGAUACCCCUGUAGUC
rnacentral:rRNA from 1 species